rnacentral:piRNA from 1 species
CCAUUCAUCUACAGGGGCUCC